rnacentral:lncRNA from 1 species
CUCCUCACGCUGUGGUGGCUGUGCUGGGGACCUGCUGUAGCUUCGUUCACGAGGCGGCGGUGGUGACUUGCUGAUAGUUCGUGCACGGGGAGGCGGUGGUGACCUGCUGAUGCUUCGUGCCCGCGGAGGUGGCGGUGACCUGCUGAUGCUUCGUGCCCGCGGAGGCGGCGGUGACCUGCUGAUGCUUCGCGCCCGUGGAGGAGGCGGUGAUCUGCUGUAGCUUCGCCUCCUAGGAGAUCGAUCCCGUGGACUGUAGCUCCUGGAGCAAACAUGGUCAGAAUAAAGACAAAUGUUGGGCAUACACGAUGCUGCUGAAGUAUAUGUAAGAGAUAAUACUACCAUGACAAGACGGCUGUAGUAAGAUUUAAACUACAGAAUCCUUGAGCAGUUGAAACCGUUCUUAUGUUUCAUAUGUUAAUAGACAAUAAAAGAAUGUUCAGAUGCUACAAUUCAAAUCUAUUCACAGGGCUGAUGAAGUAGAAAAAGAAAAAAGGGAAACAUUAGAUCCCUUAUUACUAAUAAAGAAUAGCAUGCAAUAAGACUUGGAUAAGUUGGUGCAUACCGAGUAAAAUAUAAUGAGGUCAAAUCAGAAGUUUACACCCGAAUAACAGAUAUAUCUUCAGU